GCCCAGGUGGUGGAAUUGGUAGACACGAAGGACUUAAAAUCCUUUGGCCGCAAGGCCGUGCGGGUUCAAGUCCCGCCCCGGGUA
rnacentral:tRNA from 1 species